AUUGAACGCUGGCGGCAGGCCUAACACAUGCAAGUCGAACGGUAACAGGAAGCAGCUUGCUGCUUCGCUGACGAGUGGCGGCCGGGUGAGUAAUGUCUGGGAAGCUGCCUGAUGGGGGGGGAUAACUACUGGAAACGGUAGCUAAUACCGCAUAAUGUCGCAAGACCAAAGAGGGGGACCUUCGGGCCUCUGGCCAUCGGAUGUGCCCAGAUGGGAUUAGCGUGUUGGUGGGGUAACGGCUCACCAAGGCGACGAUCCCUAGCUGGUCUGAGAGGAUGACCAGCCACCCUGGAACUGAGACACGGUCCAGACUCCUACGGGAGGCAUCAGUGGGGAAUAUUGCACAAUGGGCGCAAGCCUGAUGCAGCCAUGCCGCGUGCAUGAAGAAGGCCUUCGGGUUGUAAAGUACUUUCAGCGGGGAGGAAGGGAGUAAAGUUAAUACCUUUGCUCAUUGACGUUACCCGCAGAAGAAGCACCGGCUAACUCCGUG
rnacentral:rRNA from 1 species